UUUUUAUGAGAGUUUGAUCCUGGCUCAGGACGAACGCUGGCGGCGUGCCUAAUACAUGCAAGUCGAACGCUUCUUUUUCCACCGGAGCUUGCUCCACCGGAAAAAGAGGAGUGGCGAACGGGUGAGUAACA
rnacentral:rRNA from 1 species